AGCCUCUUCUCGUGGGUAACAGUGAUGCAAUCAGAAGUAAUGGCCUUAAGUUGCACUGGGAGAGGUUCAGGUUGGAUAUUAGGAAAAAAUUAUUCUAUAAAAGAGUGGUGAGGUAUUAGAACAGGCUGCCCAGGGAGGUGGUGGAGGAUACCAUCCCUGGAGGUGUUCAAGGAAUGUAGAUAUGUGGCACUGUGGGCGUGGUGGGGAUGGACUGAUGGUCGGGCACCUUAGAGGUCUCUUCAACCUUAAUGAAUCUGUGACUCUGAGAUUGUUCCCCUGCUAUGAAGAUGCCUCUGCCUCUGUGCUCCACAUCAGUCCUUAAGACUCAUCUGCAUUGUGAACCAGACGCAUCAAGGACAUAACGUUUGGGCAAGAUCCACGGGCUGUGAUGCAUCCUGUCUUCUCUCACAGUAGACCUGCCCAGAUCAUUAUUCUGCUGCUGCUUUGUGACUGAGAUAAAAAGCAGAGUGUAAAAUUGUGCUUGGAGGAGCAGCAGCACAUCUCUAUGAUUCUGUGAUGAUUCUCAUCUCAUCUCUAACACAGGAGACGGGCAGAGCGGAGGCAGUCCUAUAGCACUGCAGGGAACGAGCGUCAUGACGAAGAGGAUCUGUGCUAUUAAUGGUGCCGUGAGGGAACAGCUGUUCCAUUUAUGGCUCAUGAAAUAUUUGCAAAAUAAACUUCUGGAAUGUGAUAAGAACAUUUAAUAGUAUGUCACCUCCUGGAAUUAAUGGGGCACUAGAAGAACUGCAGGUCAUAAUCCUGUUGCAGAGUGGAUGUGAAGAAAAGCUCAUUGCUCUCUUCUGCUGGUUUGACUUUCGUUGCUAUAGCAUGUGUUCAAGAAAUCAUUUUUGUCAAGCACCGUUGAGAUACAAAAUUAACAAUGGGCACAUACAUGGGCUGUCAUGGUUUUAUGAUUUUUGUUAUCGGUAUCCCACAUCAUAACAUCAUGUAGUGCACUGGGAGUUAAGAGUUAAUGCUUCGGUUCCAUGCAUCGUUGACAGCUCCGGGUAUACCUGUCUCAGAAGAGAAGAAGAACUACAUAUCCCAGAGUGAAGGAGUUCACUGUUCUGUUUCUGUUUUGCAUUCAGAGGGAAAGAUAAAACAGGUCACGAGAUGUCCCCAUUAUCCCUUUCAGCACAUCUGCAGUGUGUGCUCCAUAGCUGUCUCAUCUUCGGCAUUAGAGUAAGGCUUUUGGUUUUUAACACUUUCUCUCAUUUUAUUUGAUUUAUUAG
ensembl:lncRNA